rnacentral:misc_RNA from 1 species
AUGAGCUCUGUGCCUCUCAGAAAAAUAUCAGCCAACGCACCCUGGACAGCGACACGAUAGAAUAGCUCCUCUCCAAUUGAGCUAGCAGUUACAAUAAGAAUGAACUGCCAUGGUGACAUGCCAUAGAAGAAGCUGCGAAGCUCCUCAUCCUCGACAUCCCUGAUGGCGCGAGCAUGAGGUGAAUAUUUGACAACUUCAUCGUCGAGGAUAAAGAGCAAAG